CGUGAAGGCCAGCCGUCACCUGCGACAACUGCAGGGAGGCCGGGUUGCAAGCACGCUGAGCACUGCCCAUGUGCAUCUGAGGCCGAGCAGGGCCCAGCAAUUGCAGAACACUUUGACAGCUGAAGCUACAGAGGGAUCCUUCCUAAUUCUGUAAAAUCAAUGAGGAAAUUGGGUGUUCCCUUCCUAGACACCCCUUCCCGUCAGUUACCCCAUUUACACACAUCGGGGUGUGCUCUGGGCACAGCCAAGGCUGGGGACCCCUUACUCCACAGGUCACACUUCUUCAUUGCAAACCAAAAGGGAGGAGCAGUGGUGAAUUCACACACUGGAGACCUGUAGCCGUUACUUCGUGCACGCCUAAGGGAUGCCACCAAGCUGCCGGCAGGGCCCAGAGCUGGGCACAGCGAGCUCUUCUCACCCUUGCUCUACCCCACACGACACCCGUCUGGGUUUGCUGUCCCACGGGCAGGGUACCAUCGUGUUGUUAAACGCCUCACUGCUUCUCCCACCGCCGCGGUGCUGCUCUGUAGAUGGAUAACAGAAAACAGAAGAGGGGAAAGCAGCGCUGCAGACUCCUGUCAUGCCUGGUUCAUGAACCCUGCGAGGCAGGGGCUGCGUGCUGCCUUGCCCAAGAAGUCCACAGGCCUGCAAGGGGCUGCUUGCAAUACCACUCCCCCACACCCACAUUCACAAUAGCCACUGAAAUUCACGCACUUUGUAAAACCCUUUGGAUAAAAAACAUGAGUGUUGCCAGUUUUAAUCUUUCAAAAAUGUUGUGUGUGGCCCUAGAACAGAAUGAUAUAGCCUUCAAAAUAAUAAGA